rnacentral:lncRNA from 1 species
GGCAAGCUACUUUAAUCUGAUACAAUCUUAUAUUUUAGCUUCCAACGACCAAGAAUCUGGUGUCAACUUCUCAACUAUAAAGAGGGUGGUCUAUAAUCUUACAGGUGAGUCUUCAAGAAAAGUAGGCGACAGAUUCCCGAAGCUCAUUCAUAGAUAGGUGGAACUUGGAAGAAACAAAACAUUAAAUACCUGAGCCAAUAACAGAUUCUAGCCAUUGGCAGCUCAGCACUCCUUAGCUCAGUUGAACAAAACACAAUCUAAAGCAUCUCCUUCUACUUGCACUAACAAGCAACACAGAUAUUAUUGUGCAGAUGACAUGUUGCACAGAAUCCAAAAUGCUAAUUCACAACACAUUUCCCAUCCACUGAGUAAUCUAUGAGUAUUCCACCUUUCGUCCUAUAUUCUAUCAAUCAAUCAAAUAAGUCUCAAAUUCAGAAGUAAUUGGAAUUAGUGGUAUGAAUCAUCUAUAUAUACUUCGUAAUAUUUGGACAGUUUCAUAAAGAUACUGGUCACCAAAAGUAGAAGGUUCUCCAAACUCACACUUACCUCUGCCCAAACCUAAUCUAAUUGUAACCAUAACACAUUUCCCAACAAUGAAUCACAACUAUUUGGUAUCCCUUAUAUGGAUUCUUUGCUUCCACCAUCCUUCCUAGAAGAAGAAAUGCAGAAAGAAAAGAAGACAACAUAUCCAGCUACUAUCUAUAAGUUUAAGCAUUUUUCUAUUUUAGAUAUGAAGCUCAUACUUACUCUGUUCCACAUUCAGAUCACUCUCCAGCUGCAGAUUUAGAGCCUCAAAAAGUUCCUCUGCAAAUUAGACCCAAAGUUUAGUGACGUCAGCCUCUAAAGAAUGAAAAGUAUUCACAUAAUAAGAUAUCAAUGGGCAACGUGUCAUUCGUAACCAAAUAAUGACUUACUCUCUUCAGCAUCUGCAAACUCAGGUAGAAGUCUACCGUCUUCUUGGACCUUCCUCUGCAAAAUUUUAAAAGUGCAUUUUCAAAGUGAAAGGGUUCAAAUCAAAUCAAAACUCAUAUACAUAAGCAAAAGAAAAUUGGACUUAUGUCCUGCCCUUAACCGCCAACUAGUCCACUGGUGUACCCACUAAGAUUAUCAUUAUUGUUUUCUUUUCAAAAUUUUUAAGGAAAUCGUAAUAUGUUUGAAAGCGUUCUCAAUUCGUUUUCCUCUGAAAAAUUGAAUAAAUUGCAAUAUUCAAAGGGUUCAAAUUACAUAAAAAUUCAUACAUAUAAGCAAGAAAAAUUUAAACAUGUGCAACCAUUACCACAAACUAGUCCACUGCUGUAACCCCAAUAAAAAGUCAAUCUUUUCCAUAUUUUUAUUCUUUUUUCUCAAUCUUUUUAAGGAAAUAAGUAACAAUUUUGAAAUGGGCGAGGCUCAAAGAUUGUU